AAGGACACUGUGUACUCACCACAGGGACUCCUGAUUAUCCCAAAACACAAAUCCUGAUUCAUUUUUUAAAGACUCAUGAUUGAGGGCUCAUCCUGUAUUUUUGUUUUCCCCCAGCUAUAGUCUACCUGAGCCAACAAAAUGAGUGUAUUCAUUUUAUUUUUAAAAGCCUCCUACAAAUCUUCAGUGACUCUUUGAGUAUAAAAUAUUCAUACCUUGACUCCAAAUUACAGUUGGGAGCAUAACCACUCAACAAGUACUUUUAGUUCAGAUUCAUUUUAGAUUCAUACAAGCAGAAGAAGGAAACUUGGGAAACACAAAGUCUCCUUUGAAGGAAAGAAAUCCUGAAUGAAGAAACAGAGGGAUAUACUGCCGUCUUAAACCAACCCAAAUGCCUCUGCCGCAGUCGCAGUUAUUUAGGGUGGAGAAGCGGGCUCUGGCAACUAGAGAAGGUGGCCGCAGCAUGGGGACACCCGAAUUGAGGAGCUGUUUGGGCAAUAAGCUGAUUUAGAGAAUUAAGACCUCCACAGAUGGGAGUGGAAUCCGCAACUGCUCAAUCCAUCCACUGAGAAGUCCCAUAAAAGAUGGACAAUCCAUAACUGAAACCCAACCUUCGGCACAACGAUCAAAUUCUACAUGCAUAAAGCAAGAGAUCUGUGUGCCAGAUCCAUCUUAAAGGCACCCCACCCAGAGGACAGAGUCUGUCUCCUUCCCCUAAACAAUAUGCAGAAACCACCCUGGUAAGUCAAUACCUGU
rnacentral:lncRNA from 1 species